rnacentral:rRNA from 1 species
UACGGAGGGAGCUAGCGUUAUUCGGAAUUACUGGGCGUAAAGCGCACGUAGGCGGCUUGAUAAGUAAGAGGUGAAAGCCUGGAGCUCAACUCCAGAACUGCCUUUUAGACUGUCUCGCUUGAACCCAGGAGAGGUGAGUGGAAUUCCGAGUGUAGAGGUGAAAUUCGUAGAUAUUCGGAAGAACACCAGUGGCGAAGGCGGCUCACUGGACUGGUAUUGACGCUGAGGUGCGAAAGCGUGGGGAGCAAACAGG